rnacentral:lncRNA from 1 species
AGUGGAGGGACUGGAGCUCAGGCCUCCUGCUUUUUUGUCCUGGGAGAGACUUGCCACGCAGUGCAGAGCUGGCCUGGAGGUCACCCCACCCCCAUCGCCACUGAAAGGAGCCAAAGAGGGGGCAGGGGGCAGAACUGGGGCUCCCUCUUUGGCUGUGCUGCCCGUGGCUAUCUAGCAGAACGACCCUGGCGAGCCUGGGAGUGGGGAGACGCAGAUGGCUUCGACCUUGGCCCGGCGCCGGCACCGUGACUCAUUUUCUUCAUCCGUCCAUGAGACCAUCGGACUGGAUGUUCUGGAAGAGUCCUUCAGGGCCUGAAUCAAAUUUCUCCUGCACUGGCUCCCUUCCCCUGGCACUGCCGGCUCCUCCGCAGCCUAAAUGCUGCAGGGGCGGAGUGUGUACGUACUUACGAGGGGAGCGGCGCCAGAUUUUUGCUUGACCAGACUUGGACUCCUGAGCCUUCCGCUGGGAAACCAGUGCUAGCCGGAGCCCCCCACCGCCCACAUCUCUCAGGAUCCCUCGCCAGGUGAUGCGGGAUCGCCCCUACCUGCCUUCAGCUAUAACCGUGCUGGGCGGCUUUAGAUCGAACCCCUCACCCUUCGUGUUUCCUCUUAGACAUUUCCCAGCCGUGCCCCACCCUGCUCCUUGGCUAGGUCUCCCUUCCUGCCCCCCGGAACUUGAGCCCACAUUCCCCACUGCUGAACCCCACCUCAGUGGUCCUGUGCUUGUCUCAAGGGUCCUGAAUAGACUGUGCUUUAACGAAUGUCCCUGAAUAGUGGAGUUUGAAUCCAAGACCUUCCCGCCGAGCUGCAUCCCCAGGCCCUUUAAAGAUUUUUUAAAAAUGUGUUUUAUUUUCAGGGAGGUAGAUCUUUUUUUUUUUGGUACCGGGGAUUGAACUCAAGACCUUGUGCUUGCUAGGCAGGCGGUGGAACCACUGAGCUAAAUCCAUGGCUCAGAUCUUUUGCAAAUAGAAAAAAGACCAAGAGAUGAAGAAAGAAGGGGGAGGAAAGAAAAAGGGGAUGUAAAAAGAAUUAAGAUGUGUUAUGUACAUGUACCAACUCCCCAUGAUGAAUGUAAUCACUAUGUACUAAUAAAAAUAAAAAUUUAAAAA